CCCUUAGAUGUUCUGGGCCGCACGCGCGCUACACUGAUCGACGCAGCGAGUCUUAACCUUGACCGAAAGGUUUGGGUAAUCUUCAGCAAAGUCGAACGUGAUGGGGAUCGAUCAUUGCAAUUAUUGAUCGUGAACGAGGAAUUCCUAGUAAGUGCAAGUCAUCAGCUUGCGCUGAUUACGUCCCUGCCCUUUGUACACACCGCCCGUCGCUACUACCGAUUGAAUGGUUUAGUGAGAUCUCUGGAUUGACGCUGGCUAGGGGGCGACCCUUGGCCAGACUGUUGAGAAACUGCUCAAACUUGAUCAUUUAGAGGAAGUAAAAGUCGUAACA
rnacentral:rRNA from 1 species